UUUUCCAAAUGGAAACGUACUGCAAAUCCUGGAGGCAAAAUGUGUGUGACAUGGAAUGUUGAAGGCCCUGUGAUGUGCCUAAUAAUCUUGUCCAUUUUAAGCAAGAAAAAAAUCAAGGUGAACUGAAGAAAAUGAGUCUUUCCCCAAAGGAGAUAGAAGAUGGGGAAAAUGAGAUGUCAGAAGAUAAGGACAAUGGCAGUACAGAUGAGGAAGGGAGUUACAUGGGCCAAGCUGCCAAAAGACAAGAAGAGUGCCAAGCUAGAGGACCGUGAAGAGAGAAAUGAGAACUAUGAGGAGGAUGAAGAUUCUGAAAAAGAAGCCUGGUAUUCUACAUGGGCCAGAGGGAGAAAAGCCCUUCCUAUGGGGGUGGAGGAAGAUGAGCUGGA